rnacentral:misc_RNA from 1 species
UAAGCUAUUAUACCCGAAUUAUUUGUCCGACAUUUAAGAGAUUUUCAUGAGGAACAUUGAACACUGCACUGUUUCCUCUGCAGAUCUUCCUAAGAAAAGCAUAUAUAUAAUCAAUGUGGCUACCUUCUUAUAGAACUUUGACUCCCUGCUUGUUGUUACUACUGUAUUCCCCAAUAUGUGUACUACCCCAGUAUCUCGACAGUUACUCAAAAACUCUAACUCGUCAAUUUCA